UACGUAGGGGGCAAGCGUUAUCCGGAAUUACUGGGUGUAAAGGGAGUGUAGACGGCGAGGUAAGCCUGAAGUGGAAGCCCGCGGCCCAACCGCGGAACUGCUUUGGGAACUGUUUUGCUGGAGUAUGGGAGGGGUAAGCGGAAUUCCUGGUGUAGCGGUGAAAUGCGUAGAUAUCAGGAGGAACUCCGAUUGCGAAGGCAGCGUACCGGCGCCCAACUGACGCUGAAGCACGAAGGCGUGGGUAUCGAACAGG
rnacentral:rRNA from 1 species